CGCGACCCCAGGUCAGGCGGGACCACCCGCUGAGUUUAAGCAUAU
rnacentral:rRNA from 1 species